rnacentral:rRNA from 1 species
UACAGAGGGGGCAAGCGUUGCUCGGAAUUACUGGGCGUAAAGGGCGCGUAGGCGGGAUGGCAAGUCGGUCGUGAAAUCCCUCGGCUCAACUGAGGAUCGUCGAUCGAUACUGCCGUUCUUGAGGAUUGCAGAGGAGACUGGAAUUCCCGGUGUAGCGGUGAAAUGUGUAGAGAUCGGGAGGAACACCGGUGGCGAAGGCGGGUCUCUGGGCAAUUCCUGACGCUGAGGCGCGAAAGCGUGGGGAGCAAACAGG